UCUCCGUUGGUGAACCAGCGGAGGGAUCAUUACCGACUUUACAACUCCCAAACCCCUAUGUGAACGUUACCAAACUGUUGCCUCGGCGGGAAAUUCAUGCCCCGGGCGCGUCGCAGCCCCGGACCAAGGCGCCCGCCGGAGGACCAACCAAAACUCUUUUGUAUGUCCCUCGCGGCUUUUUAUAAUUCUGAACCAUCUCGGCGCCCCCAGCGGGGGUUUCGAAAAUGAAUCAAAACUUUCAACAACGGAUCUCUUGGUUCUG
rnacentral:misc_RNA from 1 species